rnacentral:rRNA from 1 species
GUGCCAGCAGCCGCGGUAAUUCCAGCUCCAAUAGCGUAUAUUAAAGUUGUUGUGGUUAAAAAGCUCGUAGUUGAACCUUGGGCCUGGCUGGCCGGUCCGCCUCACCGCGUGCACUGGUCCGGCCGGGCCUUUCCCUCUGUGGAACCCCAUACCCUUCACUGGGCGUGGCGGGGAAACAGGACAUUUACUUUGAAAAAAUUAGAGUGCUCCAGGCAGGCCUAUGCUCGAAUACAUUAGCAUGGAAUAAUAAAAUAGGACGCGCGGUUCUAUUUUGUUGGUUUAUAGGACCGCCGUAAUGAUUAAUAGGGACAGUCGGGGGCAUCAGUAUUCAACUGUCAGAGGUGAAAUUCUUGGAUCAGUUGAAGACUAACUACUGCGAAAGCAUUUGCCAAGGAUGUUUUCAUUAAUCAGGAACGAAAGUUAGGGGAUCGAAGACGAUCAGAUACCGUCGUAGUCUUAACCAUAAACUAUGCCGACUAGGGAUCGGACGGUGUUAUUCAUGACCCGUUCGGCACCUUACGAGAAAUCAAAGUGCUUGGGCUCCAGGGGGAGUAUGGUCGCAAGGCUGAAACUUAAAGAAAUUGACGGAAGGGCACCACCAGGGGUGGAGCCUGCGGCUUAAUUUGACUCAACACGGGGAAACUCACCAGGUCCAGACACAAUAAGGAUUGACAGAUUGAGAGCUCUUUCUUGAUUUUGUGGGUGGUGGUGCAUGGCCGUUCUUAGUUGGUGGGGUGACUUGUCUGCUUAAUUGCGAUAACGAACGAAGACC